rnacentral:rRNA from 1 species
GACGAACGCUGGCGGCGUGCUUAACACAUGCAAGUCGAACGAUGAAGAAGAGAAACGCGAACUUCGGUUCAAAUUUCACUUCGGAUUAGUGGCAGACGGGUGAGUAACGCGUGAGCAACCUACCUCUUACAAAGGGAUAGCCUCGGGAAACCGUGAUUAAUACCAUAUGACACAUUCAUAAGGCAUCUUAAGAAUGUUAAAGCUACGGCGGUAAGAGAUGGGCUCGCGUCCCAUUAGCUAGUUGGUGAGGUAACGGCCCACCAAGGCGACGAUGGGUAACCGGCCUGAGAGGGUGAACGGUCACAUUGGAACUGAGACACGGUCCGAACUCCUACGGGAGGCAGCAGUGGGGAAUAUUGCACAAUGGAGGGAACUCUGAUGCAGCGACGCCGCGUGAGCGAUGAAGGAAUUCGUUUCGUAAAGCUCUGUUCUAUGGGAAGAAAAGGACUGUACCAUAGGAGAAAGCCCCGGCUAAAUACGUG